rnacentral:rRNA from 1 species
UGGGGAAUAUUGGACAAUGGGCGAAAGCCUGAUCCAGCCAUGCCGCGUGUGUGAAGAAGGUCUUCGGAUUGUAAAGCACUUUAAGUUGGGAGGAAGGGCAGUAAGCGAAUACCUUGCUGUUUUGACGUUACCGACAGAAUAAGCACCGGCUAACUCUGUGCCAGCAGCCGCGGUAAUACAGAGGGUGCAAGCGUUAAUCGGAAUUACUGGGCGUAAAGCGCGCGUAGGUGGUUCGUUAAGUUGAAUGUGAAAGCCCCGGGCUCAACCUGGGAACUGCAUCCAAAACUGGCCAGCUUGAGUAGGGCAGAGGGUGGUGGAAUUUCCUGUGUAGCGGUGAAAUGCGUAGAUAUAGGAAGGAACACCAGUGGCGAAGGCGACCACCUUGGCUCAUACUGACACUGAGGUGCGAAAGCGUGGGGAGCAAACAGG